rnacentral:rRNA from 1 species
AUGCAGUCUGGAGCGACGCGCGCCGCUCGCAUCCUUGGACCGACGGCCCUUGGCAUACGCGGAGAUCAUCGAGCUCCACGAGAAGGCGUCCCUGUCGCUUGUCGCGUCGAAUAUCUCCCUCGCCAUGCCGACGUCCCCUCUCACGGCGUACCCGUGGAUCAUCGUGUUCCAGGACACCAGGUCCCUGUCCCGCAUUCCGUCGAACACCCUCCUCGCCUCCGGCACCUCGCCGCGCGCGACGUAGGACACGAGCAUGACGUUGCAGAGGAACACGUCCCGGCGGGGCGCCUCGUCGAACGCGACGCGCGCGAGCUCCGCGCGGCCCGACUUGGCGUACAUCUCGACGAGCGCGGUGCGCACGAAGAGGUCGGCGGCGGCGAAGCCGGACCUGACCGCGCGCGCGUGGAGCGAGGCGCCGAGCGGCCGGGUCGCGGCGGAGGACGAGGCGAGCGCGGCGGAGGGCGAGGGAGAGGGAGAAGGAGUUGGCGAGGAGGCGGGGCGCGCGCGGGAGGAGCCCGCGGAGGACGAGCAGGGCCUACAGCGGGAGCGAGGCGCGGAGGUAGGCGUGCAUGA